GAGACCGCAUGGCAAAGCAAGGCACAAAUACGCAUCGCAGCCUCGUCUGGCAGAUGAGUCGCAGCGGUGCGGAUUGCCUCCCACUGAAAUGAAUUAACUUCCUCCAGACCGCAUACAAAGAAACCACAGUUGGUUUGCAGUCGGCCUGCCCUGUUCUGGUAAUGACAGCAGAGCACGCUCAACGUUUAACCUGUCUUCCAGUUCACUUUCCAUAUAGUGUAUUCUUUUCUUCUGACCUUCAAGAGACUACAGAAGUGCUUUCUUCGAUCUUUUUGGCACCAGCAUGCUGUCAGGACUCACCGGGUGAUCGGUUCCCCUUUCAGGAGAUAUGGCGUCAGGGCUAAACCCAGAGGAAGCCCCUCUGGACGAUGGAGCCAUCCCCUUGGAUAUUGAUAAUGUCCACAUGCUACUGCAAGGACAAUGACCCAAAACACACCUCCAGGCUGUGUAAGGGCUAUUUGACCAAG